AUACUUAACUGGCAGAAGAGAUAACAUAAUCAGGAAAGUGGUUUUCCCAGGAGAAGGCUUAUCCAUUGCACUCCAGAUGUGCUGGCCCAUGUGAUUUCCCCAAAUGUGCGCAACUCAACUGCAUAAUUUGUGGUAGUAAGGGACUGCAUUUGCACUUUCCCCUA